rnacentral:rRNA from 1 species
UAAGACGAACCGUCCUAACGUUGUUCGGAAUCACUGGGCUUAAAGGGCGCGUAGGCGGGCACGCAAGUCCGGGGUGAAAUCUUUCGGCUUAACCGGAAAACAGCCUUGGAUACUGCGUGUCUGGAGGGAGGUAGGGGCGGCCGGAACUUCCGGUGGAGCGGUGAAAUGCGUUGAUAUCGGAAGGAACGCCGGUGGCGAAAGCGGGCCGCUGGACCUCUACUGACGCUGAGGCGCGAAAGCCAGGGGAGCAAACGGGAUUAGAUACCCCGGUAGUCCUGGCCCUAAACGAUGGGUACUAGGUAGCGGACUGGACAUGGGUUCGCUGCCGAAGCCAAAGUGCUAAGUACCCCGCCUGGGGAGUAUGGUCGCAAGGCUG